UUCAAUUUUUUAAAAUAUUUUGCACAAAUGAUUAACGAUUCGUUUCUCAGAAACAUGAGAGGGAGUGAAACAAAUGAAAGAUUAAGAGAAUCCUUUUAAUUGUUUUUCUUUUCUCGUUUUCCAUCUUUAAAUCUUGGAUUGUUUUGCUGGGUGAGUUUGUUGAGGUAGCGAAGAGAGUUACGGAGGGACUGACCGUUGAGGAGCUGAGGAACACACCGGAGAUUCGAUGGGGUCGCCGCUUGGAAACGGAGACGGUGACGAACUAUGUGGGUUCAGAAAAUCAAACGCCCGAUUUUUCUUAUUCUAUGCUUUAGGCGGAAGUUAGGCGUGUUACUGUUCAACACAACCGAAUCAGUGAAAAUCGCUACGUUCACCUUCCGUAGAGCGUUUAUGCGGCCGUAGAAUCGUCAACUCGGCCGAGUUUUCGAACAGAGCUAAAUUCUUGUAAGUCACUACACAUCUUAAUAUUAAUAAGGUUUGUGUGAUUCACUUGGAUAUUAUUUUAUCUUAAGGGAAUGAUAUCCUCCUUAGAAAAAAAAAAGUGAAGGAAUAAAGGGCUAAAGGCUUUGACAAAGUGAACCUGAGCCAGACCGGCCUGCCCGGAACGGUUAAUCAACUAACUGGGGUAAUUUAGACUUUUGGCAUAGUGAUUAGGGUUUUUUGACUACUGAGAGUGAACUAUAUAACAGAGGCGUGAACCUCCUUUUCAAACAUCUCUUCUCCUACAUCUCUUCUAUGUCUCUUGCAGUUAUCCAUUUUGUUUUUUUUGUCUAUGGUUUUAUCUUCACAUGGCUUCGCAGGGGCCUCCCGGGCUAAUCUGAGUACAAAAACUUGAGGAAGUAAGCCCCAAAGCUCCUGCUAGAUUGUCUGUUACCGUUUGUGUUGCAGGAGCCUCCCGGGCUAAUCUGAAUACAAAAACGUGAGGAAAUAAGCCCCAAAGCUCGUGCUAGAUUGUGUUUUGCCGUUUGUGUUGCAGGUUUGCCUUGAUUCUCUAGGCUUUCUUGUGUCAAAAAAGCGGCUAAAUCUUUCAUUUGGAUUUGUAUCUAAAUUAUUUGUUAUUGUUGGUAGAAUCUAAUUAGAAUUGGCUGUGAUUAUAAACUUACCCGCGCUUCUGAGAUUCAUUUCAGUGAAGCAUAUACGGUAAAAACAUGGUUGAAUUUCUUAAUAUGAGCCAAACUUUCUUGUUCAUUUUUCUUUAUUUCAAUGUAAUGUUUCUUUUGGCAGUGAUGAGUAAUUUAUAACAGCUUGAUACGCCAGUUCUGCUUCAGAUAAUUCUUGAUUGAAAAGCUGUUUUCACUGUCUGAGCCUGUUUAAUCUCUUAGGUCUUUGUCUUUGUAAAAUACUGUAUUUUUUCUUGUUUUCAAAAUUGGGAAUGUCGAUGAGGAUCUAAUCCGCUUAUAUGAGGUGCAGUGGAGCUGAGACCCUGUUUUCAGGGAGAACCCCUUGGCAGAAGCUGCAAUUUCCUUGAAUUCAAUGGAUUUUACUGAGACUUUCCAUUGAUAAUCAUCCUUUUUGGUUUUGCUUGAUUUCCAAGAUAUGAAGAACUUGGUUUGGUUGAGAAAUUAUCCUCCAUGAUAAAAUCUGUUUCCUGAGUUUAAACUAUACACUAGCGCUUGUAUAUGUUGCUUGUUGUCUGAAAAAACUCAGAAAUUGUCAGUGUUCUCAUCAGCUUGUCUUUCUAAAUAUGAGACUCGAGUUAAACAAGAACACGACUUUGUAUUUUGCUGUCUGCUAUAAUCAUAAUGAAUCGCUGUAUUGAACUUUACUAAUGACCUUGUUGCAUAGAACCUCAUCUAUUUUUUUUUCUUUCCAAUAAUGGUAUCAUUUGCUGACUUAUAUGGUUUCGCAGGAGCCUCCCGGGCUAAUCUGAAUACAAUAACUUGAGGAUUUAAGCCCCAAAGCUCCUGCUAGAUUGUUUGUUGCCGUUUGUGUUACAGGUUUGCCUUGAUUCUCUAGGCUUUCCUGUGUCAAAAAAGCGGCUAAAUCUCUCAUGCGUAUUUGUAUUUAAACUAGUUGUGAUUGUUGAUAGAAGCGAUGUGUUUUCUUAUUGGCUAUGAUUAUAAACUUACCCGCGCUUCUGAGAUUGAUUUCAGUGAAGUAUAUACGGUAAAAACAUGGUUGAAUUUCUUAAUAUGAGCCAUUUUUUUCUUCACGUUUUGAUUCGCCAGUUCUGCUUCAGAUAAUGCUAGCUUGAAAAAGCUGUUCUCAUUGUCUGAGUCAGUUGUAUCUUACUUUUCUUAAGUGUUCUUGUCUUUAAAUAAUUUUUUUAUAUAUAUACACAAUUUGGAAUGUCGAUGAGGAUGUAAUCCAAGUGAAUGAGGUGCAGUGGACCCGAGACCCUGUUUUUCAGGGAGAACCCCUUGGCAUAAGCUGCAAUUUCCUUGAAUUUAAUGGAUUUUGCUGAGACUUUUCUUUAAUUUCUCAUCAUUUUGGUUUUACUAGUAAUUGAUUAGUAGGUAUGUAAGAUCUUCUUACAUUUUUGUUUCGGAAAUUUGGAAUGUCGAUGAGGAUGUAAUCCAAUUCUACGAGGUGCAGUGGAGCCGAGACCCUGUUUACAGGGAGAACCCCUUGGCAUAAGCUGCAAUUUCUUUGAAUUCAAUGGAUUUUACUGAGACUUUUCAUUAA